rnacentral:lncRNA from 1 species
UUGGUUUUUAUUAUAUGAAUAGAAUUGCUCUCCCUAUUUUGGUGUGUUUAAAAAGUAGACACGGCAAAAAUUGUAUUUAAAGAUAGUGUUUAGAUAUCUAAAUUUUAUUUCUGAAAUAGGAAUAUGAAUUCUUGAAGAAUAGCUAUUCAUCUUUGUUAUUUCAGAUUUCUAUUUGGUUGAAAAUCUGGUAUAUUCCACCUUUAUUUCAAUGCAAUUAAUACAAUGUUAUUCCAAUUGAUGUUCAAUAUGAUCUAAAAUUAUCAACUCC